rnacentral:rRNA from 1 species
GACGAACGCUGGCGGCGUGCUUAACACAUGCAAGUCGAACGGUGACCCUCGGAGCUUGCUCUGAGGCGAUCAGUGGCGAACGGGUGAGUAACACGUGAGUAACCUGCCCCAGACUCUGGAAUAACCCCGGGAAACCGGAGCUAAUACCGGAUACGAGACGGAGAGGCAUCUCUACCGUCUGGAAAGUUUUUCGGUCUGGGAUGGACUCGCGGCCUAUCAGCUAGUUGGUGAGGUAAUGGCUCACCAAGGCGACGACGGGUAGCCGGCCUGAGAGGGCGACCGGCCACACUGGGACUGAGACACGGCCCAGACUCCUACGGGAGGCAGCAGUGGGGAAUAUUGCACAAUGGGCGAAAGCCUGAUGCAGCGACGCCGCGUGAGGGAUGAAGGCCUUCGGGUUGUAAACCUCUUUCGGCAGGGAAGAAGCGAAAGUGACGGUACCUGCAGAAGAAGCACCGGCUAACUACGUGCCAGCCGCCGCAGUAAAAC